GAAUUCGCCCUUAGAGUUUGAUCCUGGCUCAGGACGAACGCUGGCGGCGCGCCUAACACAUGCAAGUCGAACGAGCGAGAGGAGGUUUACUUUCUCAAGCGAGUGGCGAACGGGUGAGUAACGCGUGAGGAACCUGCCUCAAAGAGGGGGGCAACAGUUGGAAACGACUGCUAAUACCGCAUAAGCCCACGACCCGGCAUCGGGUAGAGGGAAAAGGAGCAAUCCGCUUUGAGAUGGCCUCGCGUCCGAUUAGCUAGUUGGUGAGGUAAUGGCCCACCAAGGCGACGAUCGGUAGCCGGACUGAGAGGUUGAACGGCCACAUUGGGACUGAGACACGGCCCAGACUCCUACGGGAGGCAGCAGUGGGGAAUAUUGCACAAUGGGGGAAACCCUGAUGCAGCGACGCCGCGUGGAGGAAGAAGGUCUUCGGAUUGUAAACUCCUGUUGUUGAGGAAGAUAAUGACGGUACUCAACAAGGAAGUGACGGCUAACUACGUGCCAGCAGCCGCGGUAAAACGUAGGUCACAAGCGUUGUCCGGAAUUACUGGGUGUAAAGGGAGCGCAGGCGGGAAGGCAAGUUGGAAGUGAAAUCCAUGGGCUCAACCCAUGAACUGCUUUCAAAACUGUUUUUCUUGAGUAGUGCAGAGGUAGGCGGAAUUCCCGGUGUAGCGGUGGAAUGCGUAGAUAUCGGGAGGAACACCAGUGGCGAAGGCGGCCUACUGGGCACCAACUGACGCUGAGGCUCGAAAGUGUGGGUAGCAAACAGGAUUAGAUACCCUGGUAGUCCACACUGUAAACGAUGAUUACUAGGUGUUGGAGGAUUGACCCCUUCAGUGCCGCAGUUAACACAAUAAGUAAUCCACCUGGGGAGUACGACCGCAAGGUUGAAACUCAAAGGAAAUUGACGGGGACCCGCACAAGCAGUGGAGUAUGUGGUUUAAAUUCGACGCAACGUGAAAGAACCUUACCAAGUCUUGACAUCCUGCGACGGUGCUGGAAACAGUACUUUCCUUCGGGACGCAGAGACAGGUGGUGCAUGGUUGUCGUCAGCUCGUGUCGUGAGAUGUUGGGUUAAGUCCCGCAACGAGCGCAACCCUUAUGGUCAGUUACUACGCAAGAGGACUCUGGCCAGACUGCCGUUGACAAAACGGAGGAAGGUGGGGAUGACGUCAAAUCAUCAUGCCCUUUAUGACUUGGGCUACACACGUGCUACAAUGGCCGGUACAGAGGGUUGCCACCCCGCGAGGGGGAGCGGAUCCCGGAAAGCCGGUCCCAGUUCGGAUCGCAGGCUGCAACCCGCCUGCGUGAAGUCGGAGUUGCUAGUAAUCGCGGAUCAGCAUGCUGCGGUGAAUACGUUCCCGGGCCUUGUACACACCGCCCGUCA
rnacentral:rRNA from 1 species